UACGUGUUGUGUUAUCAGUUGCAACGUUUGAUCACACGAUCGUGAAGGCAAGAAGCCGGAUAAUGGGCUCUCUUUUCAUCGUUUUUCAACCUGGAGGCAAUGUGAAGGAUCCCAUGUAUCCGAUAUUACUAAACAAAGACGUCAGGCUUGCAUUGCAGCGGUGAGACGAGCGGAUCGAGUUCUGUGCAAUCCCCAGCUUUUUGUUGGUUUGGUCUCCGCAUCUUCUUUCCGGUACUGCACUCACAACGACUGAAUGAAACUGCACUGUGACCUCGUUGUGUGGACACAGAGAGACCUUCUGUCAUACGCAUCUUCCCUGAUGUGGAUUUCUGGGAACCACGUUUAAAUGUCUUGUCUACAGACCAAGUUCCUUCCGUUUCAUCUCCUUCAGCAUCACCAAUAUCCUCCUCCUCCUCUGCACACUUAUCC
ensembl:lncRNA